rnacentral:lncRNA from 1 species
AUUCUUCUGAACUGAGGUUGACUGCAGAUAACCAAAACCAUGGAUAAGGUGAGGCAAACUGUGGGAGCCCAGUCCUCCUAGAGAAGAAAAGGAGGAGGAAGACUUCAGAAGCAAGAUGACACAGGAGGAACAGAGGCAAGGAGAAAGUCCUUGCAGCCAGGACAUGUGACCUGAUUCUGAGAAAUGGCCCCAUAGAAGUUUGAUAAGGAGGUUUUGAAAUGCUUUCCUUCCCGAUGAAAAGAACUAUGUGAGAAGAAAACUACUUUUUUUUUUCCAUCUUGGACAUAGUUGUAUGAAGUGUGAUGCCUGGAGUUAUGACAGCCAUCUUGCAACCAUGAGAAGAUAAGGCUGUGGAUGAAAACCAAUAUACCAAGAAUGGUUGUGUUAAAAGAUGAAAAGAGCUUGGGUCUUGAAUGUCAUCACUGAACACUUCACCAGUUUUCAAACAGCCCUAUUUCUGAACUCUUGUGAUGUGAGAUUACUAAUGUCCUCAUUAUUUAAGCUACAUUAGUAGUUGGAUUUCUUGUCACAUGUAGCUGAAAAUAUCCUAGCUAAUACAUCAACAAAUAAAUGAGUAAAUAAUAAAAUUUUUAAUUAAAAAGAAAAAUUGAGCUCUAUACAUAUUGUAUGCAUGUAUCAAAAUCUCACUUGUACUCUAUAAAUAUGUUCAACUAUUAUGGAUCCAUUUUUUAAACAUACAAAUUUGAACUCUUUUUUUUUCUUUUUAUGUUUCUGCCAGCAGGAAGUCAAAAUCUGAACUCUUUUUGUGUUUAUAUGCAUCCGUUUUUUAAAUGACCUGAUGAAAUUAAAACUGUUGAGAAAAAUUAAAAAAAAAAAAGAAAUGAGUGGGCCGGGCGCAGUGGCUCAC